rnacentral:rRNA from 2 species
UACGAGGGGUCCUAGCGUUGUUCGGAAUCAUUGGGCGUAAAGAGUAUGUAGGCGGCUAGAUAAGUCAGGUGUGAAAUCCCCGGGCUCAACCCGGGAAGUGCAUUUGAUACUGUCUAGCUUGAGUAUGGAAGAGGGUAGUGGAAUUCCUGGUGUAGUGGUGAAAUACGUAGAUAUCAGGAGGAACACCGGUGGCGAAGGCGGCUACCUGGUCCUAUACUGACGCUGAGAUACGAAAGCGUGGGGAGCAAACAGG